rnacentral:rRNA from 1 species
AGAGUUUGAUCCUGGCUCAGGAUGAACGCUAGCUACAGGCUUAACACAUGCAAGUCGAGGGGCAGCAUGUUGGUUGCUUGCAACCAAUGAUGGCGACCGGCGCACGGGUGAGUAACGCGUAUCCAACCUACCCUUGUCCAUCGGAUAACCCGUCGAAAGGCGGCCUAACACGAUAUGCGGUUCUCAGCAGGCAUCUAACGAGAACGAAAUGUGAAGGAGAAGGAUGGGGAUGCGUCUGAUUAGCUUGUUGGCGGGUAACGGCCACCAAGGCGACGAUCAGUAGGGGUUCUGGAGAGGAAGGUCCCCCACAUUGGAACUGAGACACGGUCCAAACGUCCUACGGAGGCA